rnacentral:lncRNA from 1 species
AACAACCCUGGGAGUUAUAUAAGUCAGAAUUCGUCCCUUUACAAGUGAAAGUAAGGAGCUAUUUAUAGAGCUUCUAGUCUUCUUCUCCAAGCAAGGGCUCCUAAAAAUCCGGUCUUCAGCGCCUUUUCCGGUGAUGCAGCGUGAAAGUAGGAAUACAACCUUGGUCUCCAAGCCAUGGCAGUUUCAAGGAGUUGGUUUCUUCAUUCCCAAGUUAAUCGCUAAGGCAGAGAAGGAUGAAGAUAUUUUGUUAUCGUGUGUAAAUCCAUCUUAUGGGCGGUAUCCUUCAUUGCCUACCUCGCCUAGGCCUUAUGUCGCCAAAUGGACACUCAGAAUUUAAUUGUUUUGGGCCUGUUUCCUUUCUUAUAUUAAUUGGGCUAGUUUGAUUUUGCCUUUAAGCCCAUUGCCCAGUCC